rnacentral:rRNA from 1 species
GAUGAACGCUGGCGGCGUGCCUAAUACAUGCAAGUCGAGCGAAUGGAUUAAGAGCUUGCUCUUAUGAAGUUAGCGGCGGACGGGUGAGUAACACGUGGGUAACCUGCCCAUAAGACUGGGAUAACUCCGGGAAACCGGGGCUAAUACCGGAUAACAUUUUGAACCGCAGGGUUCGAAAUUGAAAGGCGGCUUCGGCUGUCACUUAUGGAUGGACCCGCGUCGCAUUAGCUAGUUGGUGAGGUAACGGCUCACCAAGGCAACGAUGCGUAGCCGACCUGAGAGGGUGAUCGGCCACACUGGGACUGAGACACGGCCCAGACUCCUACGGGAGGCAGCAGUAGGGAAUCUUCCGCAAUGGACGAAAGUCUGACGGAGCAACGCCGCGUGAGUGAUGAAGGCUUUCGGGUCGUAAAACUCUGUUGUUAGGGAAGAACAAGUGCUAGUUGAAUAAGCUGGCACCUUGACGGUACCUUACUAGAAAGCCACGGCUAACUACGUGCCAGCAGCCGCCGUAA